rnacentral:miRNA from 1 species
UUAAUGAUUAACAUCUAAUUU